ensembl:misc_RNA Metazoa_SRP Metazoan signal recognition particle RNA
GCCAGGCGUAGUGGCACGUGCCUGUAGUCCCAGUUACUCAGGAGGCUGAAGCUGGAGAAUUGCUUGAGCCCAGGAGUUCUGGGCGGUAGUGCGCUAUGCCGAUUGGGUGUCCACGCUAAGUUCAGCAUCAAUAUGGUGACCUCCUGGGAGAGGGGGACCACCAGGCUGCCUAAGGAGAAGUGAACAGGCCCAGGUUGGAAACGGAGCAGGUCAAAACUCCCAUGCUGAUCAGUAGUGGGAUCGAGCCUCUGAAUAGCCACUUCUCUCCAGCCUGGGCAACAAAGCAAGAUCCCGUCUCUA